rnacentral:misc_RNA from 1 species
GAAAUGCGAUAAGUAAUGUGAAUUGCAGAAUUCCGUGAAUCAUCGAAUCUUUGAACGCACAUUGCGCCCUCUGGCAUUCCGGGGGGGAUGCCUGUCCGAGCGUCAUUACGCACCCUCAAGCCCGGCUUGUGUGAUGGGCCCCGGCGUCUCGUUCGCGAGACGGGCCCGAAAGGCAGCGGCGGCGUCGACCCGAUGAGCCCGAGCGUAUGGGGACUUCUGUCACACGUUCGUGGUGCGGACCGGCGCCUGCUUGACUUUUCUGAUUAUCCAGGUUGACCUCGGAUCAGGUAGGGAUACCCGCUGAACUUAAGC